rnacentral:rRNA from 1 species
AAACUUUCAACAACGGAUCUCUUGGUUCUCGCAUCGAUGAAGAACGCAGCGAACUGCGAUAAGUAAUGUGAAUUGCAGAAUUUUGUGAAUCAUCGAAUCUUUGAACGCACAUUGCGCCUUUUGGUAUUCCAGAAGGCAUACCUGUUUGAGAGUCAUUU